GCGCGAAAACUUUACAAUGCUGGCAACAGCGAUAAGGGGACCUUGAGUGCCAGGAUACAAUCCUGGCUGUCGUGAUGCCUAAAAAGCAUUAUAUAGCAAGGGCCGGGCAAGACCGGUGCCAGCCGCCGCGGUAACACCGGCGGCUCGAGUGGUAACCGCUAUUAUUGGGUCUAAAGGGUCUGUAGCCGGCUUGGUUAGUCUCUUGGGAAAUCCGGCAGCUUAACUGUCGGGCUUUCAGGAGAUACUGCCAGGCUCGAGACCGGGAGAGGUGAGAGGUACUUCAUGGGUAGGGGUGAAAUCUUGUAAUCCUUGAAGGACCACCAGUGGCGAAGGCGUCUCACCAGAACGGAUCUGACGGCAAGGGACGAAAGCUAGGGGCACGAACCGGAUUAGAUACCCGGGUAGUCCUAGCCGUAAACGAUACUCGCUAGGUGUCGGCCACGGUGCGACCGUGGUCGGUGCCGUAGGGAAGCCGUGAAGCGAGCCACCUGGGAAGUACGGCCGCAAGGCUGAAACUUAAAGGAAUUGGCGGGGGAGCAC
rnacentral:rRNA from 1 species